GACGAACGCUGGCGGCAGGCUUAACACAUGCAAGUCGAGGGGCAGCGUGAUGAAGUAGCAAUACGGAUUUGACGGCGACCGGCGCACGGGUGCGUAACGCGUAUGCAACCUACCCAUAACAGGGGGAUAACACUGAGAAAUUGGUACUAAUACCCCAUAACAGUUUAGAAGGCAUCUUCUAGAUUUGAAAGUUCAGGCGGUUAUGGAUGGGCAUGCGUUGUAUUAGCUAGAUGGUGAGGUAACGGCUCACCAUGGCUACGAUACAUAGGGGGACUGAGAGGUUAACCCCCCACACUGGUACUGAGACACGGACCAGACUCCUACGGGAGGCAGCAGUGAGGAAUAUUGGUCAAUGGGCGAGAGCCUGAACAGCCAAGUAGCGUGAAGGAAGACUGCCCUAUGGGUGUAAACUUCUUUAUACGGAAUAACACCAUCUACGUGUAGAUG
rnacentral:rRNA from 1 species